CGGCAAUAAGGCGCCUGAAGGACAAGAAGGCGGGAACGGUUGAAGAUUGGGACGUAACUUCCACGAGGAGUUAGUGUAACUUCCAUGAGGAGUUAGUAUAACUUUCACUAUAAUGGUUACAACCACUUCCCCCAACUACUUUCAACCAACUAAUAAUGUGGGCUAUAAAUAGUAACUCUGAAGCCUGCAAUAGAGGUCUUCGCCCCUGCGCACAAAAGACCACCUUUAUUUUUCUGCAUCUUUCUUUCCUACAUUUACCGCUUUUCAU
rnacentral:lncRNA from 1 species